UCGGCGAGACUUCGGUCUGGCUGUCGGUGUCGCUGCAAGCCGCGGGACCCCCAGCUGUGUUCCCUCCGGCAUCUGAAGAGCUCCCCAUCAGUGCGAGGGCUGAGGUGCACAAGAAGCUGGGAGGAGACACAGCUGGGACGGCUGAUGCCCGCUGAGCAAAGGCACGUUCCGUACUGAGCAAGGGUAUUCCAUACUUAGCAAGGAUAUUCCACAUGCUCAGCAAGAAACCUAGAGGGCAGGUUGGCCAGUGGGCUGCUGCUCCAGGACUGGAUUAACAUCAGUCAGCUGAUGGGAGCUUAACUGCUUUGCCUGACAAGGA